UACGGAGGGUGCAAGCGUUGUCCGGAUUUAUUGGGUUUAAAGGGUGCGUAGGCGGCUUAUUAAGUCAGGGGUGAAAGACUAUUGCUUAACAAUGGCAGUGCCUUUGAUACUGAUAGGCUUGAGUACAGCUGAGGCAGAUGGAACGGGUGGUGUAGCGGUGAAAUGCAUAGAUACCAUCCAGAACACCGAUUGCGAAGGCAGUCUGCUAAACUGUUACUGACGCUGAGGCACGAAAGCGUGGGGAUCGAACAGG
rnacentral:rRNA from 1 species